rnacentral:rRNA from 1 species
GACGAACGCUGGCGGCGUGCCUAAUACAUGCAAGUCGAACGCGAGCAACCGGUGCUUGCACUGGUCAAUCUAGUGGCGAACGGGUGAGUAACACGUGGGUAACCUGCCCAUCAGAGGGGGAUAACAUCCGGAAACGGAUGCUAAAACCGCAUAGGUCUUCGAACCGCAUGGUUUGAAGAGGAAAAGAGGCGCAAGCUUCUGCUGAUGGAUGGACCCGCGGUGCAUUAGCUAGUUGGUGAGGUAACGGCUCACCAAGGCCGUGAUGCAUAGCCGACCUGAGAGGGUGAUCGGCCACAUUGGGACUGAGACACGGCCCAAACUCCUACGGGAGGCAGCAGUAGGGAAUCUUCCGCAAUGGACGCAAGUCUGACGGAGCAACGCCGCGUGAGUGAAGAAGGUUUUCGGAUCGUAAAACUCUGUUGUUAGAGAAGAACAAGUGCUAGAGUAACUGUUAGCGCCUUGACGGUAUCUAACCAGAAAGCCACGGCUAACUACGUG